CGCUGGCGGCGUGCCUAAUACAUGCAAGUCGAACGCACUCUCGUUUAGAUUGAAGGAGCGUUGCUCCUGAUUGAUAAACAUUUGAGUGAGUGGCGGACGGGUGAGUAACACGUGGGUAACCUGCCCUAAAGUGGGGAUAACAUUUGGAAACAGAUGCUAAUACCGCAUAAAACCUAACACCGCAUGGUGUAGGGUUGAAAGAUGGUUUCGGCUAUCACUUUAGGAUGGACCCGCGGUGCAUUAGUUAGUUGGUGAGGUAAAGGCUCACCAAGACCGUGAUGCAUAGCCGACCUGAGAGGGUAAUCGGCCACACUGGGACUGAGACACGGCCCAGACUCCUACGGGAGGCAGCAGUAGGGAAUCUUCCACAAUGGACGAAAGUCUGAUGGAGCAACGCCGCGUGAGUGAAGAAGGUUUUCGGAUCGUAAAACUCUGUUGUUGGAGAAGAAUGUAUCUGAUAGUAACUGAUCAGGUAGUGACGGUAUCCAACCAGAAAGCCACGGCUAACUACGUG
rnacentral:rRNA from 1 species